rnacentral:rRNA from 1 species
UACGGAGGGUGCAAGCGUUAUCCGGAUUCACUGGGUUUAAAGGGUGCGUAGGUGGGUUGGUAAGUCAGUGGUGAAAUCCCCGAGCUUAACUUGGGAACUGCCAUUGAUACUAUCAGUCUUGAAUACCGUGGAGGUCAGCGGAAUAUGUCAUGUAGCGGUGAAAUGCUUAGAUAUGACAUAGAACAUCAAUUGCGAAGGCAGCUGGCUACGCGAAUAUUGACACUGAGGCACGAAAGCGUGGGGAUCAAACAGG